rnacentral:rRNA from 1 species
ACGGCUCAGUAACACGUGGACAACCUACCCUCAGACCUGGGAUAAACCUGGGAAACUGGGUAUAAUACCGGAUAGGUCUUGGAUGCUGGAAUGCACCGAGGCCCAAAGCUCCGGCGUCUGAGGAUGGGUCUGCGGCCUAUCAGGGUAGUAGUGGGUGUAAAGUACCUACUAGCCUACGACGGGUACGGGUCGUGAGAGCGAGAGCCCGGAGAUGGAUUCUGAGACACGAAUCCAGGCCCUACGGGGUGCAGCAGGCGCGAAAACUUUACAAUGCCGGCAACGGCGAUAAGGGGACCUCGAGUGCCAGGAUACAAUCCUGGCUGUCGUAAUGCCUAAAAAGCAUUAUAUAGCAAGGGCCGGGCAAGACCGGUGCCAGCCGCCGCGGUAACACCGGCGGCUCGAGUGGUAACCGCUAUUAUUGGGUCUAAAGGGUCUGUAGCCGGCCUGGUAAGUCUUUUGGGAAAUCCGGCAGCUCAACUGUCGGGCUAUCAGAGGAUACUGCUAGGCUCGAGACCGGGAGAGGUGAGAGGUACUUCAUGGGUAGGGGUGAAAUCUUGUAAUCCUUGAAGGACCACCAGUGGCGAAGGCGUCUCACCAGAACGGAUCUGACGGCAAGGGACGAAAGCUAGGGGCACGAACCGGAUUAGAUACCCGGGUAGUCCUAGCCGUAAACGAUACUCGCUAGGUGUCGGCCACGGUGCGACCGUGGUCGGUGCCGUAGGGAAGCCGUGAAGCGAGCCACCUGGA